UUUUGCAAAAAAACAAAAAAGUAAACUUGUCAUCAUACAUACCCUCAAGAUUGGGAGGAUUCCACAUGCGAAUAAUAGUUCUAAACAAGCAAUUGGAAGAUGUGUAGGAGGCAAGAUGCCAGAGUACAGCGGAAUACCCUAGGGGCGCUUCACUUCUGGAACCGCUUGAAUGAAACAGUAUAAAAGGAGCUUGCUUGUCGUCGAUCCUGGACUGAAUCUAUUUGGCUUUUGGUUGGUGCUGUUUUGGAUUUGCCCGGAGUUCCAUAAAAAAGAUGGCAUACCAAUUUCAGCAGUGCAAACAGCCCUGCCUCCCACCUCCCAACUGUUGCCCUAAAGGCGAUACGAAAUAUGGAGACGUCUUCCCCCCUGUGUGCCCAGUGCCCUGUGGUCCAAGUUGCAUCCAGCCGCCCCCUGACAAGUCUAUGAGUGCUUGCCCUCCACCAUGCUCAGAUCCAUGCGCUAAAAUCAUCGGGGAGCCCUGCGCUCCUGUGGGCACCACUCCAUAUGCUCCAAAGUGCAAUGACGCAUACACCCCCAAAUGUGUGGAUCCAUGUGCCCCGAAGUGUGUGGUUCCAUGUCCUGAGCCCUGUCAAUCAGUCUAUGCCCCACCAUGUGUCCCAGUUGGCAUUGACUCAUGUGCUUCAAAAUGCGUUCCUGUGGAUCAGCCCUGUAAGCAACGCCCUUGUUAAUGACACGUGCGCUGUCAUCAAAAGGCCCCCAGAAACUUGAGAUAAAUUCUGGAGCUGUGCAUGGCAUCAAUCAAGCUUUUCUUCCUGGCUCUUUUGCAUCUUAUCUUGGGGAAAAAAUGUCUCUGAGGGUCCUUUGCCAAUUUAAUGCACCUUUUCCUUGGAAUAUUUAAGUCACUGGUUGUUCAUCCCACUUGGGGUAUUGCAUGCGCUUGAGAGGGGGAAGUUUAUGUACAACGUAUUUAUCUGUGAUGUUCUCCUCCCCGACACACUGGCCUCUCAGAAUUUCAAAACAUUGAGUGUUGCCUUGCAAAAAAAAUAAAAGUUAUACUUUGUCGCA